rnacentral:tRNA from 1 species
ACCUGGGUGGCUCAGUUGGUUAAGCAUCUGACUUCAGCUCAGGUCAUGAUCUCACGGUUUGUGGGUUUGAGUCCCACGUCGAGUU